rnacentral:lncRNA from 1 species
AUUUUGUAAUGUUUCAUACUUGGACAAUUUGAUUGAAUGUUUGAAUUGCUACAUAACAUCUUUUGUUUAGUUUUAUUGAAAAGAAAUUUCAGAUUUGUCAUUCACAAUCAUUGUUAAAAUCUGAAAGCUAAAUAAAAUUGUAGAAAGAAGAAGAGAAGAACAUCUCUAUUUAGGAAAAAUAAACUGAUAUUGAUCUAUCUUUCUACUUGCCUAACUUUGAUACAUAAUGUCCUAAUACUUGUUAAAAUAUCCUUUAUUUUGUAUCGAAACUCAAAAUUAAACACAAAGAUUCUGAAAGUGCUUUAAUGUUAUUAAAAUAUGUAUUUUUCAAUCGUAACAAUUUAAGAUGAGCUACAUUGUGAAAGAUACAUAUCUCAUAUUAUAACUUAGAAAGCUUCUAUUGAAAAUUCUAUGUAAUUCAGAAUCCGAUUUUGUAUAAAAGUUUAAACUCCAUAUGAU